rnacentral:rRNA from 1 species
UUGUAGGCUGAAACUCGCCUACAUGAAGCUGGAGUUACUAGUAAUCGCAGAUCAGAAUGCUGCGGUGAAUGCGUUCCCGGGUCUUGUACACACCGCCCGUCACACCACGGAAGUUGGGGGCGCCCGAAGCCACUUAGCUAACCCUUUUGGGAAGCGAGUGUCGAAGGUGAAAUCAAUAACUGGGGUGAAGUCGUAACAAGGUAUC